rnacentral:rRNA from 1 species
GGUAGGGGAGCGUUCCUGCAGCAGUGAAGUCAGACCGGAAGGACUGGUGGAGCGGCAGGAAGUGAGAAUGCCGGUGUAAGUAGCGAAAAGAGAGGUGAGAAUCCUCUCCGCCGAAAGCCUAAGGGUUCCUGGGGAAGGCUCGUCCUCCCAGGGUUAGUCGGGACCUAAGCCGAGGCUGAAAAGCGUAGGCGAUGGACAACAGGUGGAAAUUCCUGUACUACCUCCACUCCGUUUGAGCAACGGGGGGACGCAGGAGGGUAGGGUGAGCAGACUGUUGGAUAUGUCUGUCCAAGCAGUGAGGCGUGUGUAUAGGCAAAUCCGUACACUGUAACGCCAGGCUGUGAUGGCGAGCGAAAUUGUAGUAGCGAAGUCCCUGAUCUCACACUGCCAAGAAAAGCCUCUAGCGAGGAGUGAGGUACCCGUACCGCAAACCGACACAGGUAGGCGAGGAGAGAAUCCUAAGGCGCGCGAGAAAACUCUUGCUAAGGAACUCGGCAAAAUGACCCCGUAACUUCGGGAGAAGGGGUGCCCCGGUAGCGUGUCAAAGCGCGAGGGGGCCGCAGUGAAAAGGCCCAAGCGACUGUUUAGCAAAAACACAGGUCUCUGCGAAGCCGCAAGGCGAAGUAUAGGGGCUGACGCCUGCCCGGUGCUGGAAGGUUAAGGGGAAAGGUUAGCACCUUCGGUGCGAAGCUUUGAACCGAAGCCCCAGUAAACGGCGGCCGUAACUAUAACGGUCCUAAGGUAGCGAAAUUCCUUGUCGGGUAAGUUCCGACCCGCACGAAAGGCGUAACGACUUGGGCACUGUCUCGGCAAGAGACUCGGUGAAAUCAUACUACCUGUGAAGAUGCAGGUUACCCGCGACAAGACGGAAAGACCCCAUGGAGCUUUACUGCAGCCUGAUAUUGAAUGCUGGUAUUGUUUGUACAGGAUAGGUGGGAGCCGUUGAAGCCGGACCGUCAGGUUCGGUGGAGGCGUCCUUGGGAUACCACCCUGACAAUGCUGGCCUUCUCACUUGCAUCCCUCACCGGGAUGAAGGACCGUGUCAGGCGGGCAGUUUGACUGGGGCGGUCGCCUCCUAAAAGGUAACGGAGGCGCCCAAAGGUUCCCUCAGAAUGGUUGGAAAUCAUUCGCAGAGUGUAAAGGCACAAGGGAGCUUGACUGCGAGACCUACAAGUCGAGCAGGGACGAAAGUCGGGCUUAGUGAUCCGGUGGUUCCGCAUGGAAGGGCCAUCGCUCAACGGAUAAAAGCUACCCUGGGGAUAACAGGCUUAUCUCCCCCAAGAGUCCACAUCGACGGGGAGGUUUGGCACCUCGAUGUCGGCUCAUCGCAUCCUGGAGCUGAAGUAGGUUCCAAGGGUUGGGCUGUUCGCCCAUUAAAGCGGUACGCGAGCUGGGUUCAGAACGUCGUGAGACAGUUCGGUCCCUAUCUGUCGUGGGCGCAGGAAAUUUGAGAGGAGCUGUCCUUAGUACGAGAGGACCGGGAUGGACGCACCGCUGGUGCACCAGUUGUUCCGCCAGGAGCACAGCUGGGUAGCUAUGUGCGGUCGGGAUAAGCGCUGAAAGCAUCUAAGCGUGAAGCCCCCCUCAAGAUGAGAUUUCCCACAGCAUAAGCUGGUAAGACCCCUUAAAGAUGAUGAGGUAGAUAGGUUCGGGGUGGAAGCGUGGCAACACGCGGAGCUGACGAAUACUAAUCGGUCGAGGGCUUAACCA